AUUGAACGCUGGCGGCAGGCCUAACACAUGCAAGUCGAACGGUAACAGGAAGAAGCUUGCUUCUUUGCUGACGAGUGGCGGACGGGUGAGUAAUGUCUGGGAAACUGCCUGAUGGAGGGGGAUAACUACUGGAAACGGUAGUUAAUACCGCAUAACGUCGCAAGACCAAAGAGGGGGACCUUCGGGCCUCUUGCCAUCGGAUGUGCCCAGAUGGGAUUAGCUAGUAGGUGGGGUAACGGCUCACCUAGGCGACGAUCCCUAGCUGGUCUGAGAGGAUGACCAGCCACACUGGAACUGAGACACGGUCCAGACUCCUACGGGAGGCAGCAGUGGGGAAUAUUGCACAAAGGGCGCAAGCCUGAUGCAGCCAUGCCGCGUGUAUGAAGAAGGCCUUCGGGUUGUAAAGUACUUUCAGCGGGGAGGAAGGGAGUAAAGUUAAUACCUUUGCUCAUUGACGUUACCCGCAGAAGAAGCACCGGCUAACUCCGUG
rnacentral:rRNA from 1 species